AUUGAACGCUGGCGGUAUGCCUUACACAUGCAAGUCGAACGGCAGCACGGGGCAACCUGGUGGCGAGUGGCGAACGGGUGAGUAAUGCAUCGGAACGUACCUUUCAGUGGGGGAUAACGUAGCGAAAGUUACGCUAAUACCGCAUAUUCUGUGAGCAGGAAAGCAGGGGAUCGCAAGACCUUGCGCUGAUUGAGCGGCCGAUGUCAGAUUAGCUAGUUGGUGAGGUAAAGGCUCACCAAGGCGACGGUCUGUAGCGGGCCUGAGAGGCUGAUCCGCGACACUGGAACUGAGCCACGGUCCAGACUCCUACGGGAGGCAGCAGUGGGGAAUUUUGGACAAUGGGGGCAACCCUGAUCCAGCCAUGCCGCGUGAGUGAAGAAGGCCUUCGGGUUGUAAAGCUCUUUCGGCCGGGAAGAAAUCGCACGGGCUAAUACCCUGUGUGGAUGGCGGUACCGGAACAAGAAGCGCCGGCUAACUACGUGCCAGCCGCCGCAGUAAGAC
rnacentral:rRNA from 1 species